UAACACUACAAUUUAAAUAACAGCAGUGCCGGGGGCAGCAGGUGCUGUGUGUCCCUGUAGCAUGUAUUUAUGUGUGCAGGUUUGGUUUGACAACGAGAGUGAAAGAGCACUUGCUCCUUUGGUCCUCAGGUAGCAGCCUUGUGGAAAAGCAUCAAGGAGGAAAUAGGAAAGAGCUUUGUGUGCUGGUUUUGUUUGUUUGUUUGUUUGUUUUCCCCUUUCCUUGGAGAUUUUGGACUGAUUAAAAAGCUAUUUUUGCUGGGAAAACAAGAAGAAAAAAAAGUCCAGCUCUACGUGGCAAGGAUGAAAGCAUGCUUGACUCCUCCGAUGAGUACAAUAGAGUUUAAUAUCUUUGCUGCUUGGCCCAAUAUUGUAUCACAGGCAUCACCGACGUUGUGCUUCCCAGCAUGCCCCAGCCUUCCUUCAAACAAGCACUCGGUGUAGCAGAAAGUCCAAGAAAAGGAUUACUCCCUGGAGGAUCAAGAAGAAAGCAACAGUGAAAAAAGGACCGAUAGCAGCAUGGAGAAUACAGAAAGCAGAUAAAGAGGGAAAUGAGGAGGUGGAGGUGAGCAGAAGGCAGCUCAGAAAAUUGCACAAGCUGUGGGUAGUUUUUCCAUCGAGACGCUCAUGCAUCUCAAAGGGAGUGACUCUGCCAUCUGCAUCUCCUCUGAAAAAAAAAAAAAGGAACAGAGCAGAGACAAAAAAAGAAAUCCACCUGUUGUGCCUCUUGUUUUGGCUGUAGUAGGAUGGAUCGGCAUAGAAUGCCUGCUGUGCAGGGGGAGAGGAAGCCAACGGAGGUACUGUUGUGUCUGAGGAACGACACGCACCAGUCCCACCGCUCUGUCCUACUGACACACUGGGAAGAGUGGGGAGGAACUAUUUUAGUCCUGUUGAGGCUGCUGAGGAACAAAAAAUGGAAGUAAUUAAAGGCCUCUUCCAGUCUCACUUACAUUUCUGAGUCUCCAGGCUAGAGUUAUUUUUGCUACAUUGAUUUAAUGGCAUUGCACUCAUGUUUAAAACGGGUUGGAUUUCUUUUUUUUUUUACCUGAACUUCAGAAACGAGCCAGCACUUU
rnacentral:lncRNA from 1 species